UCUAAUUUCAUUGAGCAAAUUGAAUUCAAAUAGCUACAGGUGGAGAGCUGAUAAUAGAAUCCUGAAAGUUUUACCGACAUUAGGAUUGUGUUGAAGGAGAAGAGAUAUGGAGGAUAUUACCUCUUAACAAGGAGCUCAGUGUGAUAUGGAGCUUCAGAAGCUAACGGGAGCUCAGAGCGAGGUAGAGCUCCAGGUAUAGAUGGAUUGGGCACA
rnacentral:lncRNA from 1 species